UUUACCUUUCAAGGAUGAGAACAAAAGGAACAAUGACUAUAGUAGCAAAGGCAUUUCUAUAGACAACAAGAACAUAAUGACUCAUGCCUCUAUUAAGUGAAACUUUGGUUAUAAUAUUCAUUCCUGCAUAACCAAAUUGUAAAGAAAUCAUAGCUAUAUAAGGUUUUGAUCUUUGAAAAAAAUUGCAAUUACAUUCCCCCUCCAUUUUUUUUUU